UACGAAGGGGGCUAGCGUUGCUCGGAAUCACUGGGCGUAAAGGGGUGCGUAGGCGGGUUUUUAAGUCAGGGGUGAAAUCCUGGAGCUCAACUCCAGAACUGCCUUUGAUACUGAAGAUCUUGAGUUCGGGAGAGGUGAGUGGAACUGCGAGUGUAGAGGUGAAAUUCGUAGAUAUUCGCAAGAACACCAGUGGCGAAGGCGGCUCACUGGCCCGAUACUGACGCUGAGGCACGAAAGCGUGGAGAGCAAACAGG
rnacentral:rRNA from 1 species